ACCCUUGAUUUCCAUUUGCUGUAAAUAGUGAGUGAGCCGAAGCCCUGCAGUAAGUGGGCUGCUUCUUCAGUUGCUUAAACGCUGAACCAAUAUUCCCAAGGAUGGCGAAAAUCCCUCUCAGAAAUCUGCUUUCACUCAUCCAAAAACGCUUCCUUCAUACCCACCCUACCCUUUCUUCUAUUUCAAAGCCCCGCCCUUCAAGCUCUGCUCUUCCACUCUCCAAACGCCUCAUAAUACCCCGAGACGCCGCCCCUGAAUCCUUAUCCCUCUUCAAAAAUUUGGAAUCUUACGGAUUCAACACUACCCAAAUCGCCACAUUGGUCGAAAAAAGCCCCGAAAUCGUGCAUUCCAGAUUUAACUCAAAGUUUAAGCCCAGGCUCGAGUAUCUAAUCGAAAAGGGUUUUAAAGGUAUAAGGUUUUGAAGGUUUUGGAGUCGAUGAAACUUAUCAAAGAAGGUUUGUUGGAUUUGUACCAGCAGGCUAAGAAGAGAAAAACAAGCGGGGACAAGAGUAAAACAAUUGAUCCUGUAUCAGCAAGUUUAACUUUGUAGUUCAUAGUUGUCCAGAUCUAUGUUACUCAGAUUCAGGGUGAGUGCCUGCUGCUGAUUAUGUGUUCUGAUAUGGGUAAGUUUUUCAAUAUAUUUGUUGGACCGUAUUUAUAUAACCAUGUAUGUUAAGAAAAGGAAAACCAGCAGGGGGCAAGAAUGAGGCAACUAAUCCCAAAAUCAGCAAGUUUGACUCUAGUUUGUAGUUGCCUAGACAUGUGUUACUCAUGUCGGAUACUGAAUAUGUGACCGGUAUGGUAAGAUUUUCGAUAUAUUUGAAAGAUGGUACUCUUACAACCAUGUUCAACCAAACACAAAUGCUACAGGUGGGUACUUUAGGAACAUGAAGUAUCCGGGCCAUAUAGACCUAUGGACAUUCCUGUUUGACCGGUUCUAAAAUGUAUUCGUGGUAUUCAUAUUUUCAUUGCCUAAUAUGAUUUUUGUGGCCAUUAUAUUUUUUGUUUUUUUCUUUUGUGGAUCGUACUCUUUGUUAUAUUAUGACCUUGAUUGCCUGAAAAA